ncrna:unclassified sequences DTF3800-I RNA
UUUAAUUACAGGUAGUUAUACGCUGUAUACUUGUGUAACUGAAUUAACGUUUAAGCGAAGUGUAUUCUUCGUCAGUCGCAAGGGGGUCGCUUAAGUUGAUUAGGCGACCCUAUUUUAUUUU